rnacentral:rRNA from 1 species
GACGAACGCUGGCGGCGUGCCUAAUACAUGCAAGUCGAACGCUUCUUUCCUCCCGAGUGCUUGCACUCAAUUGGAAAGAGGAGUGGCGGACGGGUGAGUAACACGUGGGUAACCUACCCAUCAGAGGGGGAUAACACUUGGAAACAGGUGCUAAUACCGCAUAACAGUUUAUGCCGCAUGGCAUAAGAGUGAAAGGCGCUUUCGGGUGUCGCUGAUGGAUGGACCCGCGGUGCAUUAGCUAGUUGGUGAGGUAACGGCUCACCAAGGCCACGAUGCAUAGCCGACCUGAGAGGGUGAUCGGCCACACUGGGACUGAGACACGGCCCAGACUCCUACGGGAGGCAGCAGUAGGGAAUCUUCGGCAAUGGACGAAAGUCUGACCGAGCAACGCCGCGUGAGUGAAGAAGGUUUUCGGAUCGUAAAACUCUGUUGUUAGAGAAGAACAAGGACGUUAGUAACUGAACGUCCCCUGACGGUAUCUAACCAGAAAGCCACGGCUAACUACGCG